rnacentral:rRNA from 1 species
UACGUAGGGGGAAGCGUUGUCCGGAUUUAUUGGGCGUAAAGCGCGUGUAGGCGGCCAAGCAGGUCAGCUGUGAAAACUCGAGGCUCAACCUCGAGACGUCGGUUGAAACCGCUUGGCUAGAGUCCGGAAGAGGAGAGUGGAAUUCCCGGUGUAGCGGUGAAAUGCGCAGAUAUCGGGAAGAACACCCGUGGCGAAGGCGGCUCUCUGGGACGGUACUGACGCUGAGACGCGAAAGCGUGGGGAGCGAACAGG